GAGCGACCGCUGGCGGCAGGCCUAACACAUGCAAGUCGAACGAACCUUUCGGGGUUAGUGGCGGACGGGUGAGUAACACGUGGGAACGUGCCUUUAGGUUCGGAAUAACUCAGGGAAACUUGUGCUAAUACCGAAUGUGCCCUUCGGGGGAAAGAUUUAUCGCCUUUAGAGCGGCCCGCGUCUGAUUAGCUAGUUGGUUGAGGUAAUGGCUCACCAAGGCGACGAUCAGUAGCUGGUCUGAGAGGAUGAUCAGCCACAUUGGGACUGAGACACGGCCCAAACUCCUACGGGAGGCAGCAGUGGGGAAUCUUGCGCAAUGGGCGAAAGCCUGACGCAGCCAUGCCGCGUGAAUGAUGAAGGUCUUAGGAUUGUAAAAUUCUUUCACCGGGGACGAUAAUGACGGUACCCGGAGAAGAAGCCCCGGCUAACUUCGUG
rnacentral:rRNA from 1 species